AAGCGAAACACAGGCAAGGAAGCUUGUGUCUGCCAGUCGUCGUGGACUGGUACUGACGAGCAGCGAGGA
rnacentral:hammerhead_ribozyme from 1 species